rnacentral:rRNA from 1 species
GACGAACGCUGGCGGCGUGCUUAACACAUGCAAGUCGAACGGGAAGGCCCGGCUUUUGUGGGGUGCGCGAGUGGCGAACGGGUGAGUAACACGUGGGGAACCGGCCCUUGACUGGGGGAGAACUUCAGGAAACUGGGGCUAAUACCGGAUAGGGGCGACUGCGGCAUGGGGGGGGUUGGAAAGUGUCGGCGGUUGGGGAUGGACUCGCGGCUUAUCAGCUUGUGGGUGGGGGAGUGGCUGACCAGGGCUUUGACGGGUAGCAGGCCUGAGAGGGUGACCGGCAACAUUGGGACUGCGAUACGGACCAGACUCCUACGGGAGGAAGCAGUGGGGAAUAUUGCACCAUGGGCGGAAGCCUGAUGCAGCAACGCCGCGUGCGGGAUGACGGCCUUCGGGUUGUCAACCGCUUUCGCCUGUGACGAAGCGUGAGUGACGGUAAUGGGUAAAGAAGCACCGGCUAACUCCGUG